UUUGUUAUUUCCUCCGUACCAAAUUAAUAUUUAUUUUAACUUUUCUAGAUUAUAUCUAGUUAUGCAGUAAAGCUAAAAUGAAUAUUAAUUUGGGAGGGAAGGAGGGAGUAGCUUACAAGCGGCCUGCCCAGGAUAGGUAAAGCGCACGUGAGUUGUAUAUGAGUGUAUAAGAGUAACUCCAAAAGAAUCUGUAUUCUUAGGGAGAGAAAAAAAAGAACUCCAAUAGCUCCCCAAAACUUCCCCAAGCUAUUCGCGAUGCUAAAACAGAGCCCAUCACCGUGCAUAUUUGCGCGACGUCCUUCCUCCCCCUAUCGGCCCCUUCCCGCGCGCGAGAGAGGCUUCCGGACCCCACCCUCUCCCUAGUU
rnacentral:lncRNA from 1 species